rnacentral:rRNA from 1 species
CAGUCGCCGCGGGAAUAUGUAGGUGGCAAGCGUUGUCCGGAAUUAUUGGGCGUAAGGGCUCGCAGGCGGUUUCUUAAGUCUGAUGUGAAAGCCCCCGGCUCAACCGGGGAGGGUCAUUGGAAACUGGGAAACUUGAGUGCAGAAGAGGAGAGUGGAAUUCCACGUGUAGCGGUGAAAUGCGUAGAGAUGUGGAGGAACACCAGUGGCGAAGGCGACUCUCUGGUCUGUAACUGACGCUGAGGAGCGAAAGCGUGGGGAGCGAACAGGAUUAGAUACCCCCGUAGUCCCUGUCUCUUAUACA